UGGGGAAUAUUGCACAAUGGGCGCAAGCCUGAUGCAGCCAUGCCGCGUGUGUGAAGAAGGCCUUCGGGUUGUAAAGCACUUUCAGCGAGGAGGAAGGUGGUGAGCUUAAUACGCUCAUCAAUUGACGUUACUCGCAGAAGAAGCACCGGCUAACUCCGUGCCAGCAGCCGCGGUAAUACGGAGGGUGCAAGCGUUAAUCGGAAUUACUGGGCGUAAAGCGCACGCAGGCGGUUUGUUAAGUCAGAUGUGAAAUCCCCGGGCUCAACCUGGGAACUGCAUUUGAAACUGGCAAGCUAGAGUCUCGUAGAGGGGGGUAGAAUUCCAGGUGUAGCGGUGAAAUGCGUAGAGAUCUGGAGGAAUACCGGUGGCGAAGGCGGCCCCCUGGACGAAGACUGACGCUCAGGUGCGAAAGCGUGGGGCAGCAAACAGGAUUAGAUACCCUGGUAGUCCACGCUGUAAACGAUGUCGAUUUGGAGGUUGUGCCCUUGAGGCGUGGCUUCCGGAGCUAACGCGUUAAAGUCGACCGCCUGGGGGAGUACGG
rnacentral:rRNA from 1 species